rnacentral:rRNA from 1 species
UGGGGAAUUUUGGACAAUGGACGCAAGUCUGAUCCAGCCAUGCCGCGUGCGGGAAGAAGGCCUUCGGGUUGUAAACCGCUUUUGUCAGGGAAGAAACGAGUUUCUCUAAUACAGAGACUUAAUGACGGUACCUGAAGAAUAAGCACCGGCUAACUACGUGCCAGCAGCCGCGGUAAUACGUAGGGUGCAAGCGUUAAUCGGAAUUACUGGGCGUAAAGCGUGCGCAGGCGGUUAUGCAAGACAGAGGUGAAAUCCCCGGGCUCAACCUGGGAACUGCCUUUGUGACUGCAUAGCUAGAGUACGGCAGAGGGGGAUGGAAUUCCGCGUGUAGCAGUGAAAUGCGUAGAUAUGCGGAGGAACACCGAUGGCGAAGGCAAUCCCCUGGGCCUGUACUGACGCUCAUGCACGAAAGCGUGGGGAGCAAACAGG